rnacentral:rRNA from 1 species
CUACGGCCACACCUAGGCGAAAACACCAGUUCCCGUCCGAUCACUGCAGUUAAGUGAAAACGUCUGAGGGUCUCGUUCGUUUCGUACUAUGGUUGGAGACAACACGGGAAUCCGGGAUGCUGUAGG